rnacentral:rRNA from 1 species
CGAAACUAACAGAUUUACUUCGGUAAUGACGUUAGGAAAGCGAGCGGCGGAUGGGUGAGUAACACGUGGGGAACCUGCCCCAUAGUCUGGGAUACCACUUGGAAACAGGUGCUAAUACCGGAUAAGAAAGCAGAUCGCAUGAUCAGCUUUUAAAAGGCGGCGUAAGCUGUCGCUAUGGGAUGGCCCCGCGGUGCAUUAGCUAGUUGGUAAGGUAAAGGCUUACCAAGGCGAUGAUGCAUAGCCGAGUUGAGAGACUGAUCGGCCACAUUGGGACUGAGACACGGCCCAGACUCCUACGGGAGGCAGCAGUAGGGAAUCUUCCACAAUGGACGCAAGUCUGAUGGAGCAACGCCGCGUGAGUGAAGAAGGUUUUCGGAUCGUAAAGCUCUGUUGUUGGUGAA